rnacentral:rRNA from 1 species
AUUGAACGCUGGCGGCAGGCCUAACACAUGCAAGUCGAGCGGAUGAAGAGAGCUUGCUCUCUGAUUUAGCGGCGGACGGGUGAGUAAUGCCUAGGAAUCUGCCUGGUAGUGGGGGAUAACGUUCCGAAAGGAACGCUAAUACCGCAUACGUCCUACGGGAGAAAGCAGGGGACCUUCGGGCCUUGCGCUAUCAGAUGAGCCUAGGUCGGAUUAGCUAGUUGGUGAGGUAAUGGCUCACCAAGGCUACGAUCCGUAACUGGUCCGAGAGGAUGAUCAGUCACACUGGAACUGAGACACGGUCCAGACUCCUACGGGAGGCAGCAGUGGGGAAUAUUGGACAAUGGGCGAAAGCCUGAUCCAGCCAUGCCGCGUGUGUGAAGAAGGUCUUCGGAUUGUAAAGCACUUUAAGUUGGGAGGAAGGGCAGUAGGUUAAUACCUUGCUGUUUUGACGUUACCGACAGAAUAAGCACCGGCUAACUUCGUGCCAGCCGCCGCAGUAAAAC